GAGAAGGGCAUCUGGUGGAUGCCUAGGCGUCAAGAGGCGAUGAAGGACGUGGCACUCUGCGAUAAGCCAUGGGGAGCCGAGAGCAGGCUUUGAUCCGUGGAUUUCCGAAUGGGGCAACCCACCCCUUUGGGGUAUCCGUUUCUGAAUCCAUAGGGAACGGAGGCGAACCCGGCGAACUGAAACAUCUCAGUAGCCGGAGGAAAGGACAUCAACCGAGACUCCGCUAGUAGUGGCGAGCGAACGCGGACUAGCCCAGUGGCUUUGUGUUUCUAACCGGAACCGUCUGGAAAGUCGGGCCGUAGCGGGUGACAGCCCCGUACGGGUGUUGAAGCAUGAAGUCCUUGAGUAGGGCGGGGCACGUGAAACCCUGUCUGAACAUGGGGGGACCACCCUCCAAGGCUAAGUACUCCUUGACGACCGAUAGUGAACCAGUACCGUGAGGGAAAGGUGAAAAGCACCCCUAUGAGGGGAGUGAAACAGUUCCUGAAACCGGAUGCCUACAAGCAGUCGGAGCCGCUCCUUCAAAUCGCUGCGCGAUUUGAAGAUUUGGUUUGUUCAAUCAAAUCGUGGAACGAUUUGAUGGGGCGGUGACGGCGUACCUUUUGUAUAAUGGGUCAGCGACUUAAUCUGGCGAGCAAGCUUAAGCCGAUAGGUGUAGGCGCAGCGAAAGCGAGUCUGAAAAGGGCGUCGAGUUCGUCGGAUUAGACCCGAAACCGGGUGAUCUAGCCAUGGGCAGGUUGAAGGUGGAGUAACACCCACUGGAGGACCGAACCCACGUCUGUUGAAAAAGACGGGGAUGACCUGUGGCUAGGGGUGAAAGGCCAAUCAAACUCGGAAAUAGCUGGUUCUCCGCGAAAGCUAUUUAGGUAGCGCGUCGGAUGAUGACCUGCGGGGGUAGAGCACUGGAUGGGCUAGGGGGCCGCGAGGCUUACCAAACCUAACCAAACUCCGAAUACCGCAGAGUUUAGUCCGGCAGACAGACUCAGGGUGCUAACGUCCUGGGUCAAAAGGGAAACAACCCAGACCACCAGCUAAGGUCCCCAAGUCACGGCUAAGUGGGAAAGGAUGUGGGACGGCCAUAACAACCAGGAGGUUGGCUUAGAAGCAGCCAUCCUUUAAAGAAAGCGUAACAGCUCACUGGUCUAAUAGCUAUCCUGCGCCGAAGAUGUACCGGGGCUCAAGCCGUGCACCGAAGCUGUGGAUUUCGUCGAUAAGACGAAGUGGUAGCGGAGCGUUCCGUAGGCCGAUGAAGGGAUUUUGUGAGAAAUCCUGGAGGUAUCGGAAGUGAGAAUGCUGACAUGAGUAGCGAAAAGAAGUGUGAGAAACACUUCCGCCGAAAGUCCAAGGGUUCCUGCGCAAGGUUAAUCCGCGCAGGGUGAGCCGGUCCCUAAGCCGAGGGCGAAAGCCGUAGGCGAUGGCAAUCAGGUUAAUAGUCCUGAGCUCGUGGGUCGUGACGCCUUUGAGCCGUUGUUUCCUCUUAUCGGAUUGAGGGAGCAGCCAACAAAGGCCAGGAAAUAGCCCCACAUAUGAACCGUACCCGAAACCGACACAGGUGGACUGGUAGAGUAUACCAAGGCGCUUGAGAGAAUGGUGUUGAAGGAACUAGGCAAAAUGCCCCCGUAACUUCGGGAGAAGGGGGCCCUCGGCUUGGGCAACCAGGCCGGGGGGGCACAGACCAGGGGGUGGCGACUGUUUACUAAAAACACAGGGCUCUGCGAAGUCGCAAGACGACGUAUAGGGUCUGACGCCUGCCCGGUGCCGGAAGGUUAAGAGGAGAGGUGCAAGCUUUGAAUCGAAGCCCCGGUAAACGGCGGCCGUAACUAUAACGGUCCUAAGGUAGCGAAAUUCCUUGUCGGGUAAGUUCCGACCUGCACGAAUGGCGUAACGACUUCCCCGCUGUCUCCAACACCAACUCAGCGAAAUUGAAUUCUCCGUGAAGAUGCGGAGUUCCCACGGCCAGACGGAAAGACCCCAUGAACCUUUACUACAACUUCGCAGUGGCAUUAGGCGAUGGAUGUGUAGGAUAGGCGGGAGGCUAUGAAACGAAGGCGCCAGCUUUCGCGGAGCCAUCCUUGAAAUACCGCCCUUCUGUCUCCUGAUGUCUAACCGCGGCCCGUGAUCCGGGUCCGGGACCCUGCGUGGUGGGUAGUUUGACUGGGGCGGUCGCCUCCUAAAGAGUAACGGAGGCGCGCGAUGGUGGGCUCAGGCCGGUCGGAAAUCGGCUGAUGAGUGCAAUGGCAAAAGCCCGCCUGACUGCGAGAGCGACGGUUCGAGCAGAGUCGAAAGACGGUCAUAGUGAUCCGGUGGUCCCGCGUGGAAGGGCCAUCGCUCAACGGAUAAAAGGUACUCUGGGGAUAACAGGCUGAUACUGCCCAAGAGUCCACAUCGACGGCAGUGUUUGGCACCUCGAUGUCGGCUCAUCACAUCCUGGGGCUGGAGCAGGUCCCAAGGGUUCGGCUGUUCGCCGAUUAAAGUGGUACGUGAGCUGGGUUUAGAACGUCGUGAGACAGUUCGGUCCCUAUCUACCGUGGGUGUAGGAUACUUGAAAGGAGCUGUCCCUAGUACGAGAGGACCGGGAUGGACAUCCCUCUGGUGUACCAGUUGUCACGCCCGUGGCAUCGCUGGGUAGCUAAGGAUGGAAGGGAUAACCGCUGAAAGCAUCUAAGCGGGAAGCCCCCCUUGAAACAAGGUAUCCCUUGAGGAUCGUGGAAGACCACCACGUUGAUAGGCCGGGUGUGGAAGCGCUGUAAGGCGUGAAGCUAACCGGUACUAAUGAUCCGAUAGGCUUGAUCU
rnacentral:rRNA from 1 species